rnacentral:lncRNA from 1 species
UACAAUCUAUUAUUAAUUAACUACACUGUUAUUGGACUUAAUAUGAUGAAAACUGCCUAUGCAAUAUAAUGUGUAAACUAGGCCAAUACAGAAUAACUCGGCCAAUACAGAUUUUUUUCUGUAUUGGCCGAGUUAUUCUAUAUUGGCCGAGUUGACACAAGUGCAGGAAUUCGGAACGUCUCUAGAUUUUACAUCGAAAGUCACGAUAAACACAAACUGAAAGUAAACAGUUGUUUUGAAGACGCAGUUGUCAUUUUUAAAGCAAUUGCUUUUAUGCCGUCGCGUAUGGCCAUCUUUGUGACCCAGAUCAGAGACUCCGCCCAGAUCAAGCCAUAGUAUUUUGUUAAACAGGCUCCUGGUCAGUCAUUCUUUAACACCUAUGUAUGUUUUCUAAUGCAAUACAUAGCUUGAAACUUAAAAAAAAAGUUAGUGGAUUUAAGAAGUUUCAGAAUAUGUUCUUGUAGAUGUAUUUUUGUAUUUAAAGGGUCAACCGUUUGACUAUCAAAUAACAUAGAAGUCCGAGUGAAAAAAAGUACAUUUUUAUAAAUGCGAUUCCGUUUUCCGCCG